GGCCUAUUAGCUCAGAUGGUUAGAGCAUUGUUCUAACGACACGAAGGUCGCAGGUUCGAGGCCUUCAUGGGCCA